UAAUCAACCCGCAGUCAUAAAAACGCACGAGCGAGCAGAUUUGCGAAAAAAACCACGAUCACGGGCUCUCCUUGAUGCGCACAGGUACGGCACCGCCGCCGCCGCUACGCGCGCCGGCCUCUCCGGCCAUCCGCCACCGCCACGCUCAGCCGGCCGUCCUCUCCGUCCAAUCACCGCCCUGUUCUCCAUCCCUUCCCCAUCCGUCCCCAAUCAGUCUCCUCGAUCUCCAACCUCCUGCAGUCGUCCUUCUCUGAUUUGGAUCAAAGUGGAGCCAUCGAUGGAGGCAGGGAGCAGAUGUGGAGCCAUCGGACGAGGAGUAUUAGCUCGGGAAACAUGAGGGAGGGGGUGGAUCUGGCGGAAGCGGGGGAGCAGCAGAUGGAGCCAUCUCAUCGACCCGUUUGGCGACCGGCCGGCUAGCCAAUUCCCUUUGCUCCCAUCACUUCCUCUAGCUCCGCCCGUCGCCCGUCAGCCCGCACGAUGAUGGAUGUCUUCGCCGUCGCACGCUGCAAAGAAUCUUGUAGCUGCGUCGGUGGCGGCGCCUUCAGUUCCUGUUUUCAGGGCCCCUGCUGCAACUGGAGCAGGUGGUGUGCUUAGAAAUCUACAUCAGAGGUACUGGUCAGGCUUUGUUGGCGGGUGUGCACUUUGGCGCCCCUUCUUCAUUCUAGGGAGAUUCAUAGGAGUAAUCCAGAAGGAGUUAUGCACAACUUCCUCAAAUGGCUACAGCAAGGUUUACUAGCUAGGAGUUGGUUGAGGUUUUACCCACUGAUGGUUUCUAUUCUUUGUGCAGGAAUUUCUAGUGCACCAAGGGAGGAAGGGCCUGCUCUUGGUACACAAGACAAGCUAGAGAACAAACAAAGGCUCAACUGAUGCUUUCCUAAAGAGAGCUUCCGUCAACUGAACUUGAUAUGAUGUUAAUGCUGGAAGCUAUUGCUUGAUGUUUCCUUUGGCCUAUCACUUUAGUAGAAAUAUUCCCAGUCGACCAGAUUCGGAAUGGCGUGGUGCCGGUGCAGUGGUGCCGGGAUGAAGGUGCAGUCGUUGCAGUCCCGUGCAGCGCUGGCUCAUGCAAAUGCCCUAUCCGCGGCAUAGAUGUAGUUAGAAUCUCUCAGCUGCUAUAGAGAAGAGAAGGCCGAGAUUUGGGAAAGCAGCAUCAACUGACUGGAGAAGCCGAGUUGGAUGAGCAAGGUGUGCUCCACUGGUCAAUCCUUCAUGUCUACCCAGAGGUCUUGUGUGUGACCCUAUGGAGGAUUUUCCAGAGAUCAAUAAGCAUCUUAAUGUCAUAUCCUUGAAAAUUUAAACGAUGCCUUUUCUGAUAGUAUGUAAAGGAAUGCAUAGAUACUUGUCAUCACAAGAAAAAGGAACUCAUAGAUAUUUUACUUGAUUUUCCAAAUUCAUGUUCGCCUUAAAUAUCAAACAUGUUCUCCACCAUUGCCAUGGGAUGAGAACCACGCUUACACAA